UACGAAGGGGGCUAGCGUUACUCGGAUUGACUGGGCGUAAAGGGCGCGUAGGCGGUUUGUACAGUCAGACGUGAAAUUCCUGGGCUCAACCUGGGGGCUGCGUUUGAUACGUGCAGACUUGAGUUCGGAAGAGGGUCGUGGAAUUCCCAGUGUAGAGGUGAAAUUCGUAGAUAUUGGGAAGAACACCGGUGGCGAAGGCGGCGACCUGGUCCUUGACUGACGCUGAGGCGCGAAAGCGUGGGGAGCAAACAGG
rnacentral:rRNA from 1 species